rnacentral:misc_RNA from 1 species
UGUCCUUCCUAGUCAAACUAGUACACUCAAAUCCCAGUGUCCCAGCAAGCACCUUCUGUAUGUAAUUUGCAACUUCAAUGGCGGAUUUCCCACCUGUGCAAGUGAGCUCCGUGGGCAGCUGAUUCAAGAAGNNNNNNNNCAUAAGUUGGCAUUGGAUUCAUGAACACGAAAUAAGGAUCCAACAAUUUGUGCCCUCGAAC